rnacentral:tRNA from 1 species
GGAUUGUAGCUCAGGGGUGGAGCGCUUCCCUAGCAUGUGCGAGGCCCUGGGUUCAAUCCUCAGCACCA